GACGAACGCUGGCGGCGUGCUUAACACAUGCAAGUCGAACGAAGUGGCGAACGGGUGAGUAACGCGUAAUCAACCUGCCGUUCAGAGGGGGACAACAGUUGGAAACGACUGCUAAUCCCGCAUACUGAAGAGGGGGAUUGCGUCUGAUUAGCUAGUGGGAGGGGUAACGGCCCACCAAGGCGAGGAUCAGUAGACUGGCUGGGAGGAUGGACCGCCACAAUGGGACUGGGGCACCGCCCAGACUCCUUCGGGGGGCAGGCGUGGGGAAUCUUUCGAAAUGGAGGGAAGUCCGACGGAGCAACGCCCCGGGAGUUAUGAAGGCCUUUGGGUUGUAAAGCUCUGUUAAUCGGGACGCGGUACCGGAAUAGAAAGCCACGGCUAACUACGUGCCAGCAGCCGCGGUAAUUC
rnacentral:rRNA from 1 species